rnacentral:ncRNA from 1 species
AUAAUGAUACUCCCGUACAGUCACAGUCCGAGCGUUGAAGCACAGAGAACCUGUGUGAGCCGUCGCAGGCAAUGAAUACGGCUACAUGAGAACCAGAACCAUGUAGGGGUGAGAUUCCCGUGA